rnacentral:rRNA from 1 species
AGAGCGAACGCUGGCGGCAGGCUUAACACAUGCAAGUCGAACGGAUCCUUCGGGAUUAGUGGCGGACGGGUGAGUAACACGUGGGAACGUGCCUUUAGGUUCGGAACAACACAAGGAAACUUGUGCUAAUACCGGAUGUGCCCUUCGGGGGAAAGAUUUAUCGCCUUUAGAGCGGCCCGCGUCUGAUUAGCUUGUUGGUGAGGUAAAGGCUCACCAAGGCUACGAUCAGUAGCUGGUCUGAGAGGAUGGCCAGCCACAUUGGGACUGAGACACGGCCCAAACUCCUACGGGAGGCAGCAGUGGGGAAUCUUGCGCAAUGGGGGAAACCCUGACGCAGCCAUGCCGCGUGGAUGAUGAAGGUCUUAGGAUUGUAAAAUCCUUUCAGCGGGGACGAUAAUGACGGUACCGCAGAAGAAGCCCCGGCUAACUUCGUGCCAGCAGCCGC